UUGCACGCUGGCGGCCGGCCUAACCCCUGCAAGUCGAGCGGAUGAAGGGAGCUUGCUCCUGGAUUCAGCGGCGGACGGGUGAGUAAUGCCUAGGAAUCUGCCUGGUAGUGGGGGAUAACGUCCGGAAACGGGCGCUAAUACCGCAUACGUCCUGAGGGAGAAAGUGGGGGAUCUUCGGACCUCACGCUAUCAGAUGAGCCUAGGUCGGAUUAGCUAGUUGGUGGGGUAAAGGCCUACCAAGGCGACGAUCCGUAACUGGUCUGAGAGGAUGAUCAGUCACACUGGAACUGAGACACGGUCCAGACUCCUACGGGAGGCAGCAGUGGGGAAUAUUGGACAGUGGGCGAAAGCCUGAUCCAGCCAUGCCGCGUGUGUGAAGAAGGUCUUCGGAUUGUAAAGCACUUUAAGUUGGGAGGAAGGGCAGUAAGUUAAUACCUUGCUGUUUUGACGUUACCAACAGAAUAAGCACCGGCUAACUUCGUG
rnacentral:rRNA from 1 species